rnacentral:rRNA from 1 species
ACUCCUACGGGAGGCAGCAGUGGGGAAUAUUGCACAAUGGGGGAAACCCUGAUGCAGCCAUGCCGCGUGUGUGAAGAAUGCCUUCGGGGUUGUAAAGCACUUUCAGUAGGGAGGAAGGUAGUGUAGUUAACACCUGCAUUAUUUGACGUUACCUACAGAAGAAGCACCGGCUAACUCCGUGCCAGCAGCCGCGGUAAUACGGAGGGUGCGAGCGUUAAUCGGAAUUACUGGGCGUAAAGCGCAUGCAGGCGGCCUGUUAAGUCAGAUGUGAAAGCCCGGGGCUUAACCUCGGAAUUGCAUUUGAAACUGGCAGGCUAGAGUCUUGUAGAGGGGUUAGAAUUUCAGGUGUAGCGGUGAAAUGCGUAGAGAUCUGAAGGAAUACCAGUGGCGAAGGCGGCCCCCUGGACAAAGACUGACGCUCAGAUGCGAAAGCGUGGGAGCAAACAGGAUUAGAUACCCCUGGUAGACUGUCA